AACUAUCAAAUAUAGAGAAUUGGGACUUCAGAUUAAAGAUUCAGUAGCCUUGUGCGCAGCGCAAGUUUGUUUCGCAAAUAUGCCACGCCCACAAGCCGCCUAAACCUGUAGCGCCCAUAAUUUUCAUCCUCUCUGGCAUAUGGAUAUAACCAAGACGUUAAGUGUGACCGCAUUCUAACAAAAUACCACAUGAAGCAAUUCCGCAAAAGGGUCAAAUUCGCAAAAUAGGUGAAGUGCUGUUGGAGAUCCACUAGAGAAUCCCAGUGGGAAGGAACAUGCCGAGUGGGACUCAAAUCUCUACAUGGACAUCCUGCCGGGCGCGUCCUCGAAAAGAAACAGAACCACCAGUAAUACGAUCUCCGACGACCUCUCCAUUAGGACUCCGGACAUCACCACCACCAGCUACUUGGCAGCUUAGGCGGAGCUGGGGGACCCUCUGGCUUCUAUAGGGAGGAGGAAAAUAGGGCGCCCGCUAAGGAACAAUUGGAAGCAAUUCCGCAAAAGGGUCAAAUUCGCAAAAUAGGUGAAGUGCUGUUGGAGAUCCACUAGAGAAUCCCAGUGGGAAGGAACAUGCCGAGUGGGACUCAAAUCUCUACAUGGACAUCCUGCCGGGCGCGUCCUCGAA